AGAGUUGAUCCUGGCUAGAACGAACGCUGGCGGCGCGUCUUAAGCAUGCAAGUCGAACGGCAAGAGGUAGCAAUACCUCCUAGAGUGGCGGACUGGUGAGUAACACGUGGGUGACAUACCCUUCAGAUGGGGAUAGCUAUUAGAAAUAGUAGAUAAUACCGAAUACGAGCACAGGGCUUAGAGAUCUGUGAGGAAAGGAGCUAAGGCUCCGCUGAAGGAAUGGCCUGCGGCCCAUUAGCUAGUUGGUGAGGUAAGAGCCCACCAAGGCGAUGAUGGGUAUCCGGCCUUAGAGGGUGAACGGACACAUUGGGACUGAGAUACGGCCCAGACUCCUACGGGAGGCAGCAGCUAAGAAUAUUCCGCAAUGGACGAAAGUCUGACGGAGCGACGCCGCGUGGAUGAAGAGGGCCGGAAGGUUGUAAAAUCCUUUUGAAACUGAAGAAUAAGCGUUGUAGGGAAUGACAGCGUGGUGACAGUAGGUUUUGAAUAAGCAACGGCUAAUUACGUGCCAGCCGCAGC
rnacentral:rRNA from 1 species